rnacentral:lncRNA from 1 species
GAUGGCUGCCGCUUGACGUCGCGAGGCCGGUACGUACACAAACAAGGUUGAGGGUGGGCUUCAUGAUGAACUUGACGUUGCGAAUAGUUAUCAGUGAUACGUACUUGCACACGUCUGUAGCUACAAGCCAGGCACUCCGUGAAUGACGUAACUGCGCAAAACUCACGGUGCAUCGAAAACCCGCUUUCAGAAUGGCGGACCGACUACGGACAGGCACACUUCAAACAACACGUGGGUGCGGUGGCACCGCACGUGCAUGUGUGUAGUACAUGUAUACUGAGCGGACGGCGGUCGCUUUAAUCCGUUUAUUUUCGCGACUUUUCAAGACAACACGUAAGAAAUUAAUCUGAGGAAUCGCUGGCACACCUACGUGAUAUGGACUGAUGGUCUUGCUGGUGGCCGUCCCGCUGGCGGUGAUGCUACAGUUCUUCAGUGGGGGUUGUUUCAUGGCGUUUGGGUGGAAGUAACAUGACUGACCUGGUUGGUGCAUCUGUGGGAGUUUCACAGAAGUAUCCCUGCUCAUCUUUGGUGACUGCCAGUUCCCGCUGCUCAUAUGUUGGCCUGAUGUAAACUGUUGGGGACCCCGUUUUGAGGUGACAAUUUUGAGGAAUGUGUUUUUGAGGUGACUAGUUGUUGCCUUUCUGAAAAACGUCAUCUUCUUCUUGUGUAUUCCACACCCAGACCGUCCCAUGUUCCAACAGUAGAUGGGAUAAAUUAGAUUUUUCCCCUUUACUAUAAUACAACAGGUCAACGUUACAUGAGGCAGCUAACACUAACAGAUUUGUAAUCCGAGGUGUGUUUUAAGUACAAGUGAAUAAACUUGAAGGGGCUCUGUAGAAUUUAUAUGUAAGUUCCAUUUCCUUUGCUUCCCUCUGAAGAGGUUAUGGGGGCAGGUACUGUAAGUAAUUAAACCCUAGUCAGAUGUAACUGUAAGACAAUGUAUGUCAUGACCCUGCAGGGGACUUUAAGUCCAGUAGUAUGGCAUUUCCAAGGCCAGGUGUACUUGGAAUGAGGAAUGACUUGUUUUACUAGAGGACCUUUAGUCCUGGUAAAUUGUACAUCAUAUGGGACACCUGUUACCAUGGUGUUGUGAUAGUCAUGUUGUAAACUUACCACAAACUGAAAGCAAUCAAAGCAAGUCUUUGGAGUGUCUGUUUUGUUAAACAAGGAAUCUGUGAGCAUGCAUAAACAAUUCCCACUUCAACCUUCCCUAUCUCCAUAUACCCCCCAGAAAGAAAACAAACAGUCUGUGCUCAACCCUAUUUGAGUAAUCCCAACCCUCACAGGCAUUUCUAACCCUCAAUGACAAUUUCUAACCCUACUUAUCAGAGUGGAGACAAAAGCCAAAUGCAUGAGGAGAUUUUAGACUGCAUGAUACAUGUAUGUGGGAAAGGGGAACACCACAAGUGCCAGAGUGCAUGCAGACAAAGCACAAGGAUGUUGAUAGUACCCUUGACAUUCAGGCCUACUUCUGACCUGUGACAAUCUGUUUUUUUGUUUUUGUAAAUGGAAUUUGGUUCAAGUAGUCUUCCUCUUGUAAUAGAGGUAUGUGGGGGUGAAAUAGCCAAAAGUAGGGUGUCUACAGGUUGCAGGCCAGUAAAUAAGCUCAAAAUUGCCUGUGCUGGCCAAAUCACAAUCUGUAGGCUGUCAAAUUCUCUGUUAUUUGAACAUUUUGUGGACCAUGAACUUGGAGAUUUGUAGGGGAAGAAAGGUGAAGGCUAGCCACAGGAAUGUCAUCUUGUGUCCAAGUGAAUUUUGGAUGAAAUCAGUGCCCUAAAGUGGUCUAUUUUAUAUUAUAGAGUGUAGGCAUCUGUUUUCAAAAUGGCUGCAGGCUUCACGACUGUUUUUUAGGGGUGAUCUUUUGUGGAUAAAAAUAUCUCAAAAAGUCACAGGAUAAGCCACAAAAAAUUGGAAGGGAAAGAAAAGAUGAAGAGAUGAGCUUCAAUUUGCCGUGUGUUUUGAACCCCCGAGAAACUUGUAUUUUUGGCAUAUUUUUAAAAAUGGGGGUAUUUAUCACUGUUGUCUAUGCCGGGACUUCAUUUACUGGUCUUUACGCAUAAGGAGUGUUUUACAUGCACGCUGAUUGUUGAAAAAAAUCAGGCUUGGGACGGCCAAGAUCUCAGCUGUGAGAUGGUAUAAAAUAACCCGGCAACUUCUGGGUUAACACUGGAAUAAAAUUGACAAAACUUGAUGACUUUGA